UACGUAGGGUCCGAGCGUUGUCCGGAAUUAUUGGGCGUAAAGAGCUCGUAGGCGGUCCGUUAAGUCGGAAGUGAAAUCUCAAGGCUCAACCUUGAAAUCGCUUUCGAUACUGGCGGACUUGAGGCAGGUAGGGGAAGGUGGAAUUCCUGGUGUAGCGGUGAAAUGCGCAGAUAUCAGGAGGAACACCGGCGGCGAAGGCGGCCUUCUGGGCCUGUUCUGACGCUGAGGAGCGAAAGCGUGGGGAGCAAACAGG
rnacentral:rRNA from 1 species